GAUGAACGCUGGCGGCGUGCUUAACACAUGCCAGUCGAACGAAGCAUUUAGGACAGAUUACUUCGGUUUGAAGUUCUUUAUGACUGAGUGGCGGACGGGUGAGUAACGCGUGGGUAACCUGCCUUGUACUGGGGGAUAGCAGCUGGAAACGGCUGGUAAUACCGCAUAAGCGCACAAUGUUGCAUGACAUGGUGUGAAAAACUCCGGUGGUAUAAGAUGGACCCGCGUCUGAUUAGCUAGUUGGUGAGAUAACAGCCCACCAAGGCGACGAUCAGUAGCCGACCUGAGAGGGUGACCGGCCACAUUGGGACUGAGACACGGCCCAGACUCCUACGGGAGGCAGCAGUGGGGAAUAUUGCACAAUGGAGGAAACUCUGAUGCAGCGACGCCGCGUGAGUGAAGAAGUAAUUCGUUAUGUAAAGCUCUAUCAGCAGGGAAGAUAGUGACGGUACCUGACGAAGAAGCGCCGGCUAAAUACGUG
rnacentral:rRNA from 1 species